AUGCUUAUUAGACCCUUUACCCACUGCUCUGCACAGACACAAUGUGCAGUACAACUGGGAACUACAGGGAGAUCCUACAGAUGCAUUCAGCCCAUCUACCAGCCUGUGAGCAGUACUGUCCACCUAUACUCUACCUCUCCACAAAGCAUGCGGUAUAGCCCGAAACCCAGCAGCAGCGGCAUCAACCACAACAAAAACCACAACAAAAACAACCACAACAACAGCAACAACAACAACAGCAACAACAACAACAGCAACAACAACAACAGCACUGCUUUGUCUUCCUUUUCUGUGCUGAUGAAAACAACUGGAAAGGCAGGAGACGGCCCCACAGCCAACAGCUAAAGGAAGAGAAGUCCAAAUUGGUCUCAGGGACUUCUUCCUGUGACAAAGUUCUAAGGCUCCUGUCAAUAAAGAAUAACGUCACGCGAACCCGCUUUCUGAUAGUCUCGUAGCACAUCCUGUAUACUAGCAGUGUAGGGCUUUCCUUACCUCUGCUCCCUGGACCCAAGAGGACAAGUGAACAAAGUGACCAAGUUCUUUUCUGUUUGUUUGCUCAUUAUCUUUUUUUUAUCGUAAGAUUUGAAAUCAGGAAUCUUUAUAUGCUAUGCAAAUGCCCCUCCACCGAGCUAUAUCCAAAGCUACCUUUUAUUGUUUUAAUAUUUGAGACAAGGUCUCAUUUAGAUUGCCUAGAGUGACCUUGAACUUUGGAAUUCUCCCCUCGGCCUCCUGAGUUGCUGGGGUUACAGGAUUGAGCUAACAGACUUGGCUCCCAGCAUUUUAAUUGAGAAGGUGAAAUAAAUAUAUGUAGAGUAAAAGGGUAAGAUUUAUAUAAGAUUAUAUAUGUGCACAGAAGAGGAAGGGUGAGCGAGGGUAAUGGAUCCAAGUCUAUACAUUUAUAAUAGCUCUCCAUUUAAUGGUUCCGUAGUUUUAAUGUGGGGUUUCACAGUUUUGGAAUAUAUCAGAGAACUAAGCAGACUUUGUUUUUCUUCAUAAAGCCCAGUCAUGCAUAUCAAGUUCCCUAGGGGUGUGUAAAAACCAUGUUCUUGGAACUCAAGGAUGACACAGGGGAGGGAAAAGGGAGGAUUAGAACGCAACCCCUGGAGAUAGGGGACUGAACCCGUGCUGCUAUUGUGUGUCCAUCCAAUCCUCCCAAGGGAACCGAAUUCUUCACAGUCACCCUUUGUUAUUAUGCUGAGUCAGAGUUUAGCUUUCUCAGAAACCCAGUCUGUCACAUGCGACCAGCCAAACUGUAAUCUCAAGUAGCGUGAGAAAAAAAACAUAAGAUGCUAUUUCCUUACAAAAGUCAGCUGAAUAGUGAGGGGGCAAAUCUUCCAGUCAGGCUGAGUUCUAGUGCUGUUGUUAUGAUUAUUGUUCUAAUAAGGGAACUUAAUACCAAUUUCACAGAGCUCUGAGAGCAUAGCUGAUCGCUCUUCUGUACAGCUUAUUAGACCUUCCUGUUUAAUUCUACCUACAAACAUCCUGCUUGAAUGAACAGAAAACAGAGGUUUUUAGACACAGAAACAAAUUGAAAAUGUGGAACAGCAUGAAGAAUGUUAGGUGCUAAUUCACUGAUGAAAACAUUAAUUUUUUUGUAACAGUCAGCAAGUUCUGAGAAGUGGGACCAUAUCUAUCUUAUUUAUCAGAGUAUAUGCAGGGCUGCUGUCACCAUGCCUGUCACAAAAUCAUGCCUCAAUAUUAACUAACAAUAACAGAGGCAUUUGCAGUGAUAUGGUAACUUAGUACAGAUGUUGACCUGGUCCUGAGUCAACAACAGGAGUUCUUUGUAUGCUUUAUUUUAAUCUCUUAAUUAGUACAUCAAGCAAAGCACUAGUAUAUUAAAUUAUAAUACAGCAGAAAGAGAUCUCUUUAACAUAUAUAUAUAUCUGAGUAAGGCCACUGGGACCAAAGAAUACUGACUGGAUAGGCUGUAUGAGGAGUCACAGACACAAAGCAUUAGCAAGAAGAGCUUAAGUCAAGAGUUUGUAAAGAGCCUCCUGUAGUAACCCGGGCUAUCUAAAAAAAUAAAACAAAACAAAAACCCAGCUAUUUAAAAUUCAGAUGACACACAGGAAUCUGAACUAUCUCUUCUUAAAUUUGGGAGUGGUGGUUAUCAAGCGGAGAAGAACUUGAAGGCAAGACUGGAACAAAUAAGAAAAUAAUUGUUUUAUAAAGAAGUGUUUUUCUAAAAGUGAGAAUUCAACAGCACACACCAACCAUGCAGCACUGAGGGCAGAGGCACAGGGAGCAAAAGGCAGCUUGGAAUACAUAGCAGACCCUUUGCAAAAAUCCAAUACCUGGGGGGGUGUAUCUCAGUGCGGAGUACUUGUUCAGCAAGUGUAAGAAUUUAGAUUUGGUCUCUACCAUGGGGUGGAGCACACAAUGACUUUUGAAUGAACCAAAGCUCCUUGGAGGAAAACGAAGUUGUUGUCUUUAAAACAACAACAAAAAUGGAAAUGACAUGAAAGAUGUAGAAGACUUUUUUUAAAAAUAAUUCAGAGAAAUGACUGUGUUCUCUCUAGACAAACUGUACCUCCCAAGGAAGGGCAGAAGGGCAAAUCAAACUGUCUAUGUGAAAAGGUCCAAAUAAGUGGAUUCUUUUUUUUUUCUUUAGAGUCAGCAGCCUCUAAAAGAGUCAUGAGUGAAGUCAUGUUGAUUUUCAAAAC
rnacentral:lncRNA from 1 species